AUUGAACGCUGGCGGCAGGCCUAACACAUGCAAGUCGAACGAGUGGCGGACGGGUGAGUAAUGUCUGGGAAACUGCCUGAUGGAGGGGGAUAACUACUGGAAACGGUAGCUAAUACCGCAUACCAUCGGAUGUGCCCAGAUGGGAUUAGCUAGUAGGUGGGGUAAAGGCUCACCAAGGCGACGAUCCCUAGCUGGUCUGAGAGGAUGACCAGCCACACGGGAACUGAGACACGGUCCAGACUCCUACGGGAGGCAGCAGGGGGGAAUAUUGGACAAUGGGCGAAAGCCUGAUGCAGCCAUGCCGCGUGUAUGAAGAAGGCCGUCGGGUUGUAAAGUACUUUAAGCGGGGAGGCGUUACCCGCAGAAGAAGCACCGGCUAACUCCGUGCCAGCCGCCGCGGUAAUUC
rnacentral:rRNA from 1 species